rnacentral:rRNA from 1 species
GGAGGAAGGUGGGGACGACGUCAAGUCAUCAUGGCCCUUACGAGUAGGGCUACACACGUGCUACAAUGGCGCAUACAGAGGGCGGCCAACUUGCGAGAGUGAGCGAAUCCCAAAAAGUGCGUCGUAGUCCGGAUUGGAGUCUGCAACUCGACUCCAUGAAGUCGGAAUCGCUAGUAAUCGUAGAUCAGAAUGCUACGGUGAAUACGUUCCCGGGCCUUGUACACACCGCCCGU